AACGAACGCUGGCGGCGUGGAUAAGACAUGCAAGUCGAACGGGAUUAAAUCUGUAGCAAUACAGGUUUUAGUUUAGUGGCGAACGGGUGCGUAACACGUGGGCAAUCUGCCGAGAAGUGGGGGAUAGCUCGCCGAAAGGCGAAUUAAUACCGCAUAUGAUCAGGGACGACAUCUUCCCAACAUCAAAGCCGGGGUAACCUGGCGCUUCUUGAUGAGCCCGCGGCCUAUCAGCUAGUUGGUGGGGUAACGGCCCACCAAGGCGACGACGGGUAGCCGGCCUGAGAGGGCGACCGGCCACACUGGGACUGAGACACGGCCCAGACUCCUACGGGAGGCAGCAGUGGGGAA
rnacentral:rRNA from 1 species